rnacentral:lncRNA from 1 species
AAGAACUAGAAGAACUGGUUUGUCUCCACUGGUGAGGUGGAGCAGAAGGGUGUGAGAGUGAGAAGAGCUGGUGGUGCUUGACUCUUCUUCUCAGGCAGUUGGAUGCCUCUGAGUUACUUGCCUAUGAAAUUCUGUGGGAGAGAUCUGACCAAGACGGCACAAAAGGAAGAGGUGUUGGGGAUGUGAAGGUAUACUACAUCAUGAACACAACUGUGAAGUCUAAAACCUGAAAUAGGCUGAAAGAUAUAUGCAACUCAUCAUAUGUAAGUUUUAUAUUUAUGUGUAAUUUGAGACUCAUGGUAAACUAAUAUUGCUAUAGCAUGAUCAUUUUAAAUUUUGUUUUACCUUAAAUAAAAUAUUUCCCCCAAUUAUAUCA